CACAGCUGGAGCGUCACAAAUACUGUGUCUGUGUAAUCACGAUAUAAACAAGAGCAACCAUGUCGAACAAAUCAUAUGAGGUCAAAUAUUCAACGAUGAGUGAUGAGAUGCAGCGGGACGCUCUACAGUGUGUCCUUACAACUGAGUAUUUGUACAAAGAGUACAACGACAUUGCUAAAUACAUUGCAAAGGAAUUUGACAGAAAGCAUCAGCCCGACUGGUUCUGCAUUGUGGGGAACUUUGGUUGCUACCAUCCGAGCAAAUAUAAUGUCUGCUUCUGUUGUCACGAUUCGCUGCCGGAAGGAACGCAGGAGACACGGAGAAGCGUUAAACAGUCUUUUAAUCCACAAACACAGGGAAAAAUCCACAACAGGAACGAGGAAUGACACACAAACAUAACCUGUAGACCCGGCAGAAACAGAC